rnacentral:lncRNA from 1 species
CUGGAACUGAAGAACUAUCCAUAUUAUCACUGAUCUAGUGAGUAAAUCAUAUAGAUUAAUCUUAGUUAAUAGUACUCAAGGGAGCCUCAUAUGCAAAAUAAACAUUUUCUAAUCUGUAAACAUUUUUAGUAACUAAAAAUGUUUCAGGGAUUUCAAAGAUAGGAACAGCCAAUAUAUAGAUAUUAUAUAUUAAUGUGAACACAAUUAUUGAAAGUUAACCUCUGUAUGGAAAGUAUUAAUGAGCCAAGAUGUGCCUAAAUAUUAGGGUACUUCAAGCUGACACACACUUUAGAAUAUGGGAGUUAAACAUAAUGUAUGUGAUAGAAUAGGAUGACUGGUGCUUGCCCUCAACUUGUAGGACGGUAUUGCUUAGGUUACAUUAACCUGAAAUUAAAGUGUAACUGUUAGGCUCAGGCCUACACAUACAUAAUUAAAAUCUAUACUAUGUUAGUGCUACCAUGAAGUUUCAACUUAUUUGCUAUUUUUUCAACAAGAAAAGCAUACACAAGCCUUUUAUUUGAGAUGCUGAAGGAAACUAAAAGGCUGUGGCAGUGUGCAAAGGUGAUCAGAGGGUCUUAGUGAGGCACAGGGCGGUCCUCCUCCCUCCUUCAGUGCUGGUCUUCAGUCUGUCUGUGAGGCCCUGGAUGCAGGCUGUGGCCUGUAAGAGCCUGGGUGCUGCACGAACAGUGUGCUUUUGUGUGUUGAACUGUAGCAUCUCUGUAGAAAAUGCCACAGUGGUCUCUCACCCGCUUCCACUGCUGCCCUCUCAUCUAUCACCUUUCUUUCUUUCCAUCCCUCUUCCCCUCUCCCAUCCUCCUAUAUUUUUCAACAAGAUGAAGAUUAUUGGGUAAGAAAAAAAAUUGAAGUGAUUUAUCAGAACAUUAUGUAUAAUUUUAAAGGUAAACCCAGAAGUUUCUUAGUGUCUCCUUUUAUUAUAGGCAUUAUGUGUACUUUAGUGAUUGUAGAACUUGAAUUGCUCUAGAAUGUGAAUUAAUUUGUGUUUUAUUCCUUUUGAGUUGCUUUGUAAAGAGUCUCCUAUGAGGAAUUCUCUUUUCAAAAUUUAAUAUUGUGUGGUUUCUUCCCUGGCUUUAGUAAAAGAUUAAUUAGAGGACUUACUCUGCUAGUGUCUAACUUAAACUCUAAGUUUAUCUUUUACAUUAGGACAGGUUAUUGAAAGUUCUGCUGCAUAUUAUAGCAGUUAAGACUCAAUCUUAGAAGUGAAUUUCCUAGCAUCUUUUUUUACUGAUGUCCAGGACACAGUUAAAGCAUGUUCUUAGGGUGCAGCAGGAAUAGCAGAGUAACUAGCUGCUAUCAGGUGCUGGGAGAGCAGGGUAUAGAGAGGAGAUGGAGAGUAGUCAAUGGGACAUUUUAUAUGUUUGUUUAACUCCAUAUUUAUUAUUUUGUAGAGACAUUUGUGAUUGUUUAGUUAUUGUUUUUUAUCAUAUUUAUGUAUAAGGUUGACUUUUUAAAAAAUAAAUAAGCCAAAAAUUGUUUUUG